AGUAGUAAUCCUUAUCAUCAAUGUUCUCCGCUUAAGUGUAGAAUCUCUGCAUCCAAAUGUGUCAACAAAAAAAUUUAAUGCUUCGAGGUUGCAUGUUGUUGUCCCAACAUACACUGUCAGUGCCACAAAAGCACACUUCGGAGCUACUUUUAUGUCAUGCAUACAGGUGGAGACAUGUUCUCUGUCACAUAAAUACCAUUAAACAAAAGCUCUUGUGGAAUAACAUCUGUUCCUGCACAGGUGGAAACAAAACAUUAUCUUCUGCUCUAAGGAAUCUCCACAAAAUCAUGUUGCAGUGUGGAAUCUGGUGGCGGUGGGACCUCACAGGUUGUCCUGCUUUGUGCUUGCAUCUUUUGGAAGGUGAGUUGGAGUUUUGUGUCAAGCCUGGAAAGCCAUCACUUCAUCUUCACUCGGAGGAAGAAGGGAAGCCAAGAUGUUGGAAGGCAAGGCAAUGAUUCAGGAGACAGACAUGCCUGUGAAGAUGCAGCUCCAAGCCAUGUCCUGUGCCUCAGAAGCCCUUGACCUCUUUGAUGUCCUCGACUGCAAGAGCAUGGCUGCCUACAUCAAAAAGGAGUUUGAUCUUAGGUAUGGCCCUGGAUGGCAGUGUGUGGUGGGUUCCAACUUUGGGUGCUUCUUCACUCACAAAAAGGGCACCUUCAUUUACUUCUGCUUGGAGACACUCUAUUUCCUCAUCUUCAAAGGUGCUGCUGCUUGAGCUAUCUAACCAUGUACAUCACUACUUUGGAAUCCAGAGGAGCUUUUGGAAGCCUUGAAUCCUAUUCCAUACUGGAGUUAGGGGAUCAAACCUGAAUAACAAUGGAACACGGAGGUGGCAUAUCAAACUCAAAGCUUCCUUCGUGAAAACUGAAAUGUACCUAUCACAGGGUAAAGUGAUCAUGUCGUUAGAUCGAUCACCAGAGUCUCACCACAUCAACAAGCUAUCAAAACAAGGGAUGUUCCAGUCCUCCAUGGCUAGAACUGGUGGAGAGAAGCUAAUAAGAUGUGUACAUGCAAACUGCAGGAAUUUUAAGAUCAGACAUCCACCAACCAUGCAGUGUUAAUUGUGAGUCUAUAACUUGGCAUCACAUGCAACUCAUGUAUUUGGCAUUCAAUGUGGUCUUUGCUAUUUGUCUCUAUCACAGAUUAACAGAUACAAUGAGGCUUAUCUAAGAAAUGCAAAGCUCCAAAUGUUGGAAAGCUCUUUGCUUACCUGA